GCCUUUGUAGCUCAGUUGGUUAAAGCGCUGCACCGGAAUCGCAGGGCCGUAGGUUCAAUUCCUACCAGAGGAC
rnacentral:tRNA from 1 species